rnacentral:sRNA from 1 species
GUAGCCCUUUGAUUUUUCAGAACACUGCCAAAUCGACCAUUUGGGGUCACCACUCAACGCUGGCCACAAACGGCAUGGUGACCACUUAAGGCUGU